GAGGGGACAAUAAGAGUGUAAUGCCAGGAACAGGGAUCAUGUAGUAUCACCUUAGGUUCAAUAUGUCACCAUCACUCUCCUUACGUUCUCUUAGAUUCCCAAUUUUCUUAUCAGUAUUAUCAGGAUAUGACAGAAUGAUGGUCAGACAUCUUCCAUGAGUUCAGGCAGCACCAUUUCUAAUGAGCACUAUUAUGCCUUCCACAAAGGAACUCAUGGCCUGUUAUCAAGGUGACUGUGCAAUGAGGAAAAGAAAAUGAUGAAAUUUUUGGAGAGUUACUGACUGAACACCAGCUGUGAAUUGAUACUAAUUUCUGGAGACAAAACAUGAGUUUGUCCACCAGUCAGUGUCAGAGCUUAUGGAGGUCAGAAGAUCAAUGGAGUUUUAGCUUAGAUCCAUCUUAUAGUGACCCAGUGGGUCGCCAAACCCAUCCUGCAGUUACUUCUCUAGUUCCAGAAUAAACAAUUGGAUAGAAAUAGUCAGCAACUGGCAGAAUUCCCAUAUUGGUUUACUGACCUCUAAAGUGAGAGCUAUUAUAGUAAGAAAAUACCAAAAGGAAGCCAAUAGAACUGCCUCUACUUUGAAAAAUAGCAAAUUAAAACCAAUAUCUUAUUUCUGGAUGGAUUGCAAACAUUAAUGCCAACAUCAGGAUGCAGAGGUAACAAUUCCCACCGCACCCUCACUCAACUUGCCUAUUUGCCUGUGUGGAAAAGAGAUGGAUCUUGGAGAAUAACAACAGAUUAUCCAGGAACAGAAUCAAGUGAACUUAAAUUGCAGUUGCUGUUUCAGAUGUGAUUUAAUUGCUUGAGCAAAUUAACACAUCCCUUGGUACCUGGUGUGCAGCCAUCGAUUUGUCAAAUGCUUUUUUCUUGAUAUCUGAUAAUAUAGACAAGCAGAAGCAGUUUGUCUAGCUGGCAAGGCCACCGAUAAACCUGCACUUGAACUCGCUUGAACUCGGGAGGCACUAUCCUGCCUCUAGGGUAUAUCAACUCUCUAAACUUAUAUUUAGUCCAUAUAAAUUAAUUCAGCUAAAAUUUAGUCCACGGGGACUUUGAUUGCCUUUCCCUUCUACAAGAUAUCACACGGGUCUAUUACAGACGAGUAUUAUGGCGAUUGGACCUGCGAAGCAGGAAACAGCAACUGCUGUAGACGUAGUUGUAAGACAAUUGCAUGUCCAAGGAUGAAAAAUGAAUCUAGAAAAAUGCCACGGCCUUCUACUUCAGUGAAAUUUCUGGGGGUCUAGUGGUGUACAGCAGGGCAAGUUAUCCCUUCUAAGAUGAAGGAUAAGUUGUUUCAUCUGGCUUCUCCUACAACUGCAAAAGAAGCACAACGCUUAUAAGGCCUCUUUAAAUUUUGGAGACAACACAUUCUUUAUUUGGGUAUGGUACUCCAGCAUUUACUGGGUGACUUGAAAAACUGCUAGUUUUAACUGAGGUGUAGAAAAAGAAAAGGCUCUGAAACAGGUCCAGUUUGCUGUGGAAACUGCUCUGCCACUUGGAUCAUAUGAUUCAGAAGAUGCAAUAGUGUUUGAUGUGUCAGCAGCAGAAAGAGAUAUUGUUUGAAGACUUUUGCACACUUACGGGGAAAUACAGUGGAUGCCUUAUAUUUUGGAGCAAAGCCCUGAAAUCCUCUGUGCAUUACUGCUCCCCUUUGGAGAAACAGUUUUUGGCUUGCUACCAAGCCUUAAACUGAACACUUAGCUAUGGGCAACCAAGUAACCAUAUGACCAGAACUUUCUCUCACAUAUUGGAUGUUGUCUGUUCUACAAGCCAUAAAGUUGGGAAUGCACAAAAAUAUUGCAUUAUUGUAUGUGGAAGUCCUAUACAUAAAAUUAGGCUUAAGUAGGCCCUGGAGGCACAAGUUUAAUCAGGAAGUGAGCCAAAUAUUCAUGAUGCCAAUUCUUGCUGCACUACUUACUCUGUCUCCUAGUCUGCAGAUAUGGCCUUAUAACCAGUUCCCUACAACUAGUUGACGGAGGAAGACAAAACUUGAGCUUGGUUUAGUGAUGGUUCUGCACAAUAUGCAGACACUACCCAAAAGUGGAUGGCUGAAGCACUAUAGCCCAUUGUGGACAUUCCUGAAGACAGUGGAGAAGGAAAACCAUCCCAGUGGGUGGAAAUUUGAGUAAUGUACCCAGUUGUUUAUUUACUCAGAAGGAGAAAUGGCCAGAGGUUUAAGACUAUAUUAAUUCAUAGGCUAUAGCUAAUGGGUUGGCUGAAAGAUCGGGGGCUUGGAAAAAACAUUGUUGGAAAAUUGCUGAGGUAUGUGGAUGGAGACCCUCUAAGUGGGCACCAAAUCUGAAGAUAUCUAUGUCUUAUGUAAAGGCCUACCACCGGUUGCUUCACUAGAGGAGGGUUUUAUUAAUCAAGUGAAUAGAAUGAUCCAUCCCGUCAAUACCAGUCAGCUUCAUUUCCCAGCCAUUCUUGUCAUUACCCAAUGGUGACAGUUACGCAUGGGCUUACCCAUGCAUGGGCUCAGCACUAUGUCUACUCACUAAGGCCAACCUUGCUAUGGCCACUGUUGAGUGGCCAGUCUACCAGCAGAAGAGACCAACACUGAGUGCUUUAUAUGGACUCAUUCGUUAAGGUAAUCAUCCAGGUAACCUAGUGGCAACUUAAUUACAUUGGACCACUUCCACCAUGAUACAGGUGGUGGUUUUUUCUUAAAGAAAUAGACACUUAGUCUGGAUAUGGAUUUGCCUUUCCUGAAUGCAGUGUUUCUGCCAAAACUAUGAGCUUACAGAAUGAUCAUAUUCCCUGCCAUUCUGAAGCAGCUAGCUUGAUAGAAUGAUGAAAUAACAUGGUGAAGACUCAGUUACAAUAAUAGUUGGGUGGAAAUAAAUUGAAAAACUGGGGCAGGGACUAUGGCAUCCUCCAGGAUGCUGUAUGUACUCUAAAUUAAUGUUCAAUAUAUGCUGCUAUUACUACCAUAGUCAUAAUUCAAAUAACCAAAAUUGAAGGCAGGAAAAUGGGAGUGGUUCCACUUACUAUUAGCCCUAGUGUUUUACCAGCAAAUUUUAAAAACAUCUCUAAGACCUUCAGUUUUGCUAGUCUAGAGAUUCUAGUUUUUAAGGAAUAAAUGGUUCUACCAGAAGACAAAACAUGAUCCCACUGAACUAGAAGUUGAGACUGCCACACCAACAGUUUGGAUUACUCAUGCCUCUGAAAGAACAAUAAAAGAAUGAGGUUACUAUAUUUAUUACAGUUUGGCCAUGAUAACCAAGGAAAAAAUGGGCUUCUAGUACACAGUGGAGGUAAUGAAGAAUAUCUCUAGAACACAAAAGGGUCCUUGGGGAAACUCAUAGUACUAGCAUGUCUUGUAGUUAAUGUCUAUGGAAAAGUAACAGAAGUCAAUUUAGGUAAGAUUUCUAAUGACCCAAACCCUUUAGGAAUGAAGGUAGAAUCACCCCCUCUGGCACAAAACCAUGACCAGCUAAGAUGCUUGUUGAGGGCAAAGGGAAUAUUGAAUGGGUGUGGGAAAAUAUAGUAUUAUAGUGUAGUUAUCAAUAUCAGCUGGGACCAUAUGAUCAGUUGCAGAAACGAAGACUAUAAUAGUUAUGAGUAUUUUCCUUAUUUUUUGUGAAUGUUUGUUUUGAACUAAAUAUUUGUUUAGUUGUUGUGAACUAAAUAUAUUUGCUUUCCUCUUAUUCACUUGUUAUCUAAUAUAAGACAUAAGAAUGGUAACUAACUUUAUAUUACAGAAGAGUGAACAUCACCCGAGGACUUUGCAUUGUCUUCUGGGGAAAGGGUGAGCAUGUUUUUGGUUGCAUAUGGGAUAGUUUUGCCACAGACAGCAGAAGUAUGUUCGUGUUAUUGUCUGUAUUUGGAGAUUGUGUAUAAACUAAGGACACGUGUUUAAAUGCCAAAUUGACCCAUAGUGAACUAUGAUGGACAGUUUUUGUGCUAAUCCCUAGUUAUUCAAUCAAACUUAAUCUAGAGUGUUGCUGUCAUUGAAGAAUUUUGUAGAUGUAGUAAAAGUCCGUAGUCAGUUGACUUUACGCAAGCAAACUUGACUUAGAAAACCUGGAUAGAUUGCUUCUCGGCCUUUUGGCUAAGAUCAAGUGUAGAAAACCUGGGUGGGACUGAUUAAAUGUGAUUGAAAGGCCUUCAGGGCAGAGUUGAGGCUUUCCAGAAGGAGAAGAAAUUCUGCCAGUGGGCAGCCAUUCAAUUCAUGCCCAAGAGGUCCAGCCUGCCCUUCAUGAGGGCUUGCCCUGCAGACUUCAGACUUGUCCAACUAACCCCACAAUUGUGUAAGCCAGUCAUUUGAAAUAAAUCUGUUUAUAUAUCUCCCACUGGUUCUUUUUCUCUGGUUGAACACUAAUUGAUACAGGCAUCAUUCACACUGUGAAUGGAAAUAUUGCGAGCUUAAAAGUGUACAAGAUCCGGCCGUACUUUAUUAGCUGGUUGAUUUAAUUUUGUUCAGUAUUAAAAUGAACCAAGUCUAAAUAUUUCAAAUCCUC
rnacentral:lncRNA from 1 species